rnacentral:rRNA from 1 species
GUACCGUGAGGGAAAGGUGAAAAGAACCCUGAACAAGGGAGUGAAAUAGAUCCUGAAACCAUACGCUUACAAGCGGUCGGAGCCCUUAUGGGUGACGGCGUGCCUUUUGCAUAAUGAGCCUACGAGUUACCGUUACCAGCAAGGUUAAGCACUUCAGGUGUGGAGCCGUAGCGAAAGCGAGUCUGAAUAGGGCGAAUUAGUUGGUCAUGGUAGACGCGAAACCGUGUGAUCUACCCUUGGGCAGGUUGAAGCUGUGGUAACACACAGUGGAGGACCGAACCCGUUGACGUUGAAAAGUCUUGGGAUGACCUGAGGGUAGGGGUGAAAGGCCAAUCAAACUCGGAAAUAGCUCGUACUCCCCGAAAUGCAUUUAGGUGCAGCGGUAUAUUAGUUUUAUAGAGGUAGAGCUACUGAUUGGAUGCGGGGGCUUCACCGCCUACCAAUUCCUGACAAACUCCGAAUGCUAUAAAAUGAUUUAUAUCAGUGAGGGCAUGGGUGCUAAGGUCCGUGUCCGAGAGGGAAAGAACCCAGACCAUCAGCUAAGGUCCCCAAAUAUAUGUUAAGUUGAAUAAACGCGGUUGAACUGCUUAGACAGCUAGGAUGUUGGCUUGGAAGCAGCCAUUCAUUUAAAGAGUGCGUAACAGCUCACCAAUCGAGAGACUUUGCGCCGAUAAUGAUCGGGACUAAGCAUAGAGCCGAAAUCGCGGGUGUGCCACUUUGUGGUACGCGGUAGGAGAGCGUUGUAUGUGCAUUGAAGGUGUACCGUAAGGAGCACUGGAGCGCAUACAAGUGAGGAUGCAUGGCAUAAGUACACGAUAAAGGGAGUGAGAAUCUCCCUCGCCGAAAACCUAAGGUUUCCAGGGUAAAGCUCGUCUUCCCUGGGUUAGCCGGUCCCUAAGCUGAGGCUGAAAAGCGUAAGCGAUGGAAAGCAGGUUAAAUAUUCCUGCGCCACCUAAAACUAUAACAAUGGGGUGACGGAGUAAGUUAAGCACGCGGGCUAUUGGAUGUCCGUUCUUGUAUGAGGUGGGUCAGUAGGUAAAUCCGCUGACAUAAAGCCAGGUAUGAGACAAGGGGAAUCUUCGGAGGAACCGAUGGUGUGGCACGAUGCUUCCAAGAAAUAACCUCUAGUUGUUGAUGGUGACCGUACCAAAACCGACACAGGUAGGUGGGAUGAAUAUUCUCAGGCGCGCGAGAGAACUCUCGUUAAGGAACUCGGCAAAUUGUCCUCGUAACUUCGGAAUAAGAGGAGCCCUUGGGCGUGAUACCUUCGCGGUUAAGCGCUCGGGGGCCGCAGUGAAUAGGCCCAGGCGACUGUUUAACAAAAACACAGCACUAUGCAAACUCGUCUAAGAGGAAGUAUAUGGUGUGAUGCCUGCCCAAUGCCAAAAGGUCAAAAGGAGAUGUUAGCACUUCGGUGCGAAGCUUUGAAUUUAAGCCCUGGUGAAUGGCGGCCGUAACAAUAACGGUCCUAAGGUAGCGAA